ensembl:rRNA 5S_rRNA 5S ribosomal RNA
GCCAGCAGCCAUAUCACCCUGCAACUCACAACUAGCAACUAGCAACCCCCUGAAGCUAAGCAGGUGUGAGCCUGGUCAGUACCUGGAUGGGAGACCUCCUGGGUAAAACCAAGGUUGCUGCUGGAA